UCGCUGUGUCCUUUGCGUUUCUCCUCUGUGCUUCCUUCCCCUGUCUCUCAUCUCUCCCCGUGCUCUUCCUCUCUCAUCUCUCCCAGCCCCGUGGCCUCCCUCCUCUCUGCUCCUUUCCCCUGGAUCUCUCUGGUCGGCGGUGGCGAUUGGACUGCGUGGGGAAGCUGUAGCGGCGGUGGCGAGUGGCGGCGUCGACGGGACCGCGCGGGCGGCGGCGGCGAGGCCGCGCGGACAGCAGCGGCGGCGGCGGCGGCCUGCAGGGAGGUCGCUGGGGAGGAGGCAGCAGUGAACGCGGCGCGUGCUGCUGAGUCCCGCGAGCUCCUCUCUCUCCCGCAGGUCCUGCGAGUCUCUCUCUCUCCCGCAGCUUCCUCUCUCUCCUGUGAGUCUCCCGCUCCUCUAUUCCGCGAGCUCCUCUCUCUCUCUCUCUCCCUGCAGGCAGCGGCCAUGGCGACGAAUGGGGGCUGUGCCUCCUCCCCAGCGACGGGAUUUAGCAGCCGCUCUUCCUCCUCCCCAGCGGCUCCUCCUCCCCCAGCUCUCUCCCUGCAGGCAGCGGCCAUGGCGGCGGAGCAGCGCGACGGAGCAGAAGCAGGAGGCACAAGCAGCGGCAGCGGCCAUGGCGGGGCGAGCGGCGGCGGCAGAACAGCAGCCAUGGCGGGGCGAGCGGCGGCGGCAGAGCAGCAGCCAUGGCGGCGCACGCGGUGGAGCAGCAGCCAUUUGCAAUUUUUUUAAAGUCCAAUAAUUACUUUGCCGGAGGUUGGCCUUCGGCAAGGGCCUGCCAUGUGGCCUUCCGUCCGCCUGCUUAUCCGUUACUUUUCUUUGCCGGAGGCAUUCUUUUUCCCUCCGGCAAAGCCUUUGCCGAAGGUGACGAGAAAAAGCCGCCGGCAAAAAAAUCUUUACCGGUUGAGCUCCAUACCGAAACCCUUUGCCAGCGGCCCCGAGGAAAGUCUCCGGCAAAGCCUUUGCCGAAGAUUUGGAUUGAUCCGGUGCUCAUUUAUACCAAUGUCGAACGGACAGAAAAAUAAAAAAAUCUACUUGAUGGAAACGACGGCCCUAACCCGGAUAGAAGGAAUGUCGAAAGGCACAACAGCCGUGGGCACGACGAAGAGCGGGGUGCGGUUGCUCCAAAACCCAUCGUACGUAGAGAUCGCCGAACGGUACAUCGACUUCAGUUUUUUGGUAAUGGCGCGCUUCCGAGCAGCAGAGAUGCAGUUCCACUGUCGUCCUGAGGGAAGAGCGCGCCGCCGACGCGGACGACUCAACGCCGACAGAUGUGGGCUGAAUAUGUGUGUAGGUAGCACAGAUCGUACGGCCAGACGGCUGCCGCUUCACUAAAAGACCCAACAGCAGCGGCAAUUAAGUUGCGGGCGGAGGAGCUGCAGACAAGGACGACGUUGAAGCCGUCGCGGAGUUCCGCGUCGAACAUCUCCCCUGCGCGGACUUGGUCGGUAGCCGCGAGAUCCCAGGCGUGCUGAGAAGUGCAGUGGUCCAGGACCGCGGCCAAGGAGCUCUGGAAGGCGCAGGCGCGCACCGGGCAGCGCGCGUCCGGUGCGUGUCCAGGUCGUAGUAGGCCAGCCGGGCAGCACAGCCGGCGUCAGCAUUGUGGCACGGGACGCGGAUGGACUCCAGCAGGACGUCCAUGGGGAGGCAACGGCUGUAGGGCGCGCCUGCGGGGUGAUCCUCCCGGCAAGACGAGCACAGCGCGUGCCCCUCGUUAGACUGCAAGAGUGUACACGUAAUAAUUAGAACAUGUUAGACCAUCUCCAAUGGCAUCCCGGGGAUAUGGAUAUAUUGAUCACAAAAUCAUUCCCCAAUGA